rnacentral:rRNA from 1 species
CCUACGGGCGGCAGCAGUCGAGAAUCAUUCACAAUGGGGGAAACCCUGAUGGUGCGACGCCGCGUGGGGGAAUGAAGGUCUUCGGAUUGUAAACCCCUGUCAUGUGGGAGCAAAUUAAAAAGAUAGUACCACAAGAGGAAGAGACGGCUAACUCUGUGCCAGCAGCCGCGGUAAUACAGAGGUCUCAAGCGUUGUUCGGAAUCACUGGGGGUAAAGCGUGCGUAGGCUGUUUCGUAAGUCUUGUGUGAAAGGAGCGGGCUCAACCCGGGGACGGCACAUGAUACUGCGAGACUAGAGUAAUGGAGGGGGAAACGGAAUUCUCGGUGUAGCAGUGAAAUGCGUAGAUAUCGAGAGGAACACUCGUGGCGAAGGCGGAUUCCUGGACAUUAACUGACGCUGAGGCACGAAGGCCAGGGGAGCGAAAGGGAUUAGAUACCCCGAGUAGUC